GCUGCCGUAGGCGAUGAAGUCGGCGCCCUUGGCGCGCCAGUCGUCAUGGGCGAUGGGCGAAUCGACGUUCAGGCCCGAUCCGGCGGCGC
rnacentral:tRNA from 1 species